UCCGAAGUCCCACAACCGCCUCCCGGAGAGAACUCCAUGGAACCUCCUCCUGAGCCCGCGGCUCCGCUUCCCCCUCCUCCUCCGCCGCUGCAUCCCCAUGACACAACACUCACGCUGACGUUGGCGCUGCCCCCUCCUGCGCUCGCGUCCGUGCUGAUCUCGCCGAAGCCGCGCGCACGAAGGCCGAAGCCCGAAUGCGGCGCCAGCCCCAGACCGCGGUGCUCGCCUAUCGGCGACACACCGCCGUGCACAGAGUGCGGAAAGCGGUUCCCAUCAUGGAAGGCACUCUUCGGACACAUGCGAUGCCACCCAGAGCGGCAGUGGCGCGGGAUCACGCCGCCCCCGGCGCACUUCCGCCAGGGCGUUGCAGGCGCUCCAGUCGCCCCCUCCGGACAGUUCACGGUGCAGGAGCGCGAGGUCGCUUCCAGCCUCCUUAUGCUCUCCAGCGCGCGUCCCGGCGCUAGCAAGGGCAAGAAGGUCGUUAAUGCUGCUGCUAUUACUCCUAGCGGGAUGGAGAGCUGCGGCACAUCGGCGUCCGCGUCAGUGACGCCGGGGCCGGCCAACUGCGACGAACACAAGUGCAGCGUAUGCGACCGUGGGUUCGCCAGCGGACAGGCUCUUGGCGGGCAUAAGCGGUGCCACUGGGAUAGGGCCUGCUCGGGGGUGGUGGUGAUCGCCGCUGCCGGCAGCAGUGGGUCCCCAAUGUCGACCGAUGAGACGGCGAUUCUAGACCUCAACCUGCCGCCUCCUGGGCCGCCUCCGGUGCGGACGAGCGACCAAGGCAGCAACCUGAAUGACAUGCUGGAUUUGAAGCUUGGGUACUACGGAUAA
rnacentral:rRNA from 1 species